UCAGCUCGCACCAUUGUGCUAGAUGUGGCUCAAGGUGUGUAUUAGCAUCACCAUGCAUUGCUCGGGCGCUGCUGUCGCUAUAUAAUCCGGCUGCCACUGAGUGGUGUCCUGGAGUGGAGUCGUGUCGUAUCGGAACCAUGUCGUGGUCGCUCUCGUGUCGUACAGUGUCGCGCGCCCUCGGGUUAUCCUCUGUUCUCCCAGGGUUGUUACUAGCAAUGUGUAUGUUGGGUGUGGAGAGCAAGCCCCUGUUCGGACUGCUGGACCUGUUUGGCGCCACGGAGAUCGCGAACGGCACGUCAGUUCUGUCGGCGCUGGCGCUGGCCCACGCAGCGCACACCAUCGACAAGUUCCUGGCGCUAGCUGACCUGGCACAGUACGCGCUCAACACCACCGCGAGCCUGGGGUGAGCGGCGGACGGCGGACGGCCGGGACCGGACCCGAAGAUACAAGACAGCCGCACCCGUCCUACAUAUCAAUAUACCAUUCUAGUAUGAUAA